GAACAUUCCAUCCCUCCUGGAGAGGCUUCCUGUUGAGUACAUGGAGAAGCUCCUGAAACAAUGUCAGUCACCCUCUCAGUGAUCCAUACACCUUGCAGUGUUCUUCUGUGCUCCCAGAGCCCUGAUGAUAAGCUUCCCUGGCCCCAGUUCAUCAAAUGAAAUAUCUAUCAUUAGUGGAAUCCUUUCCUGGACAAAGCUGAGGUAUUUCCUAAGUGCCAAGAAUAUGCAGAUGGACAGCCACAGCCUCUGUGCUCAGGAAAUUCACUGUCUAAGGAAGGGGAAAGACAGGGCCGGUCUCCUGGAGCACCACAGUCUUGGAAAGAUGGAAACAACUGAAUGUGGACCACCAGCAUCUAUACUGAGAGGGAAUACAAGAAAGACAGCUUACCUGAGAUGAGGAAUCUGGGAGAGCCCCCAAAUCUCACAGCCUGUUAGUGCCCUCAGAGGUCUUGAAUCCCAGCCCUGGAUCUUUCCACCAUGGCUCACACCACUACCUUAUCAGUUCUCCAGCCUGGGGAUGGUACUCCUCUUUAUCUGUCCUGGGCAGGGAUCCUCACUGUAUCUUUUACUACUCUUCCAUGUUGAUACCUCCUCCAGCCCUGGGCCGAGAGUGAGCAUUCAGCAAAUAUUUGUCAAUUGACGGUCUUAUUGGAUGUUCCAGAAUAAGCUGAGAGGAUGCAGUGCCCUUCUCAGCUGUAUUUCUAGGAAGGACAGAUUGAGUCUUUCAGGGCUACACCCCAACCCUAGCUGAUGUCCUGGUAUUUCAAGACAAGUCAGCAAAAACAAGGAUCUGUCACUGUUCUGGUUUCUAGCUUAUUUACCCAGCCAAAUACAAGCCAUUUUACUCCUCUCCAGUUGUCCCAAUAUGCUCACCAGUUUGGCAUGUACCAUAUUAACCUUGUCCAGGAGUGAAAAAAAAAAUAGAAGGGACACCGAAAUAAAAUCUCAGGAGAAUUAAAAGUAAU